UACAGAGGUCUCAACCGUUGUUCGGAUUCAUUGGGCGUAAAGGGUGCGUAGGCGGUCGCGUAAGUCAGGUGUGAAAUCUCAGGGCUCAACCCUGAAACUGCACUUGAUACUGCGUGGCUCGGGUACUGGAGAGGAGACUGGAAUUUACGGUGUAGCAGUGAAAUGCGUAGAUAUCGUAAGGAAGACCAGUGGCGAAGGCGAGUCUCUGGGCCGAUACUGACGCUGAGGAGCGAAAGCGUGGGGAGCGAACAGG
rnacentral:rRNA from 1 species